CAGAGAACGCAGUGAAACAAAAUUUUACCAUAACCAAAUGUUCAUACUCCAUACACUUUCGAAUUCGCCUUCGACCCUCUCUCCCACUCCUGCUUCCUCCAGAAUCCUCAAGCGCUCUCCGAUUCGUGGCAGCUCGGUCCUCCUCUCCCUCUCUCUAACCCCGACAACGCCAAUAUCAUAGAAAGGUUCCAAGUUCCUGGCGUUAAUUUUGUAUUCAAUUUUACAGUUUAAUUCGAAAUUGGGUGUUUCAAUCAUUUAUGUGUUUUCAAAUUUGCAAUUGGAUCCGGACGAAUACGACAUUGUAGUGAAGCCGAUUGAAGGGUUCGUAUUGUUGGUAACGGCCAGUUCGUCGGUGAAGGUGAUGUGUCUGCACAUUGUGAAAAUCAUGACGGGAAUGACUUUAAAAUGCAGUCAAUGCACCUAUUGGAGCCUAUGAUCAGUUUGUUCUGGUUCAAUAAUCACAAGAGAUCCACAGAUGGGGCAGUUUUUAGAAAUGAGAUGGGGGAAUUUAAUGGGUGCUUUUGCAAUACCAGAUAUAAGGAUUUUUUCUCCUUUGACAAUGGAAUUUGAUGGCUUGGAAAGCAGGGUAUUUGAAAUUGGAAUUCUCCGUCUUGAAGUGGAGAUUGAUAGUAUAGAGGCUAGUAGCUUGGUAGUCUCUAACAAGAUGUGUUGGCGGCAAAGAGGGGGUUAAUAGUGUCGCUCUUAUUUUAUCAGACAUCCCCAAAGGGACCUGAAAGUGCUGUUGAAGAAAUCUGGUGCACCCAAGGUCUGCUUCCAACCAAGGGAAUGCAACAGAGUGGUUCAUGUGUUAGCUAGAUUCAUAGUGAAGGAACGUAUUGAUAUAUUUUGUAUUGAAAUUGGGCCUGAAUGGCUUAUGAGAUUGAUAAAUAUCAAUGCUAAUAUUUGUAAGUUUGUAACCCUUCCAAUGAUUAAUGAAUGGUUACCUUUUUUGUUCA